UUGAAAGGGAAACGAUUGAAGUCAGUCGUACCGACGAGAAAUCAGCUUGUCGAAUGUGCAUUUGUGGGCGUAUGAGAUCUUCAUUGUUUGCAAUAUGUAUAUUUCUUUGGUGUACUUUUUCGUAUGGUAGGUCAACGUCGGUUUUGGUCGCCAUAAAAUGAUCGGAGGAAUGUAGCUUCGGCCUCGGUUGAAGUGUUAUAGCCUUUGGUAAAUGUGGUGAUUAAGACCGAGGAUUGCAACGAAUACCUUUUAGGCUAUCCGUCUGACCUCUGAAAGUUACUUAGGUGCCGAAAGCUUGCUUACGGUCAUUUAAGUUGACGGUCAAUAGGUUAGAACGUGAUUACAUUCGUUAAGGAUGUUGACGUA
rnacentral:rRNA from 1 species